AAGCAGUAGCUAUGAAGCUUCGAAACGUUUGUGAAUCAUUUGUUUUGAAACAGUGGUUCGGAGCGCGUAUCAAACU